UUGGACCUGAUAUCAGGCAAGAUUACCCGCUGAACUUAAGCAUACAUAAA
rnacentral:rRNA from 1 species